rnacentral:rRNA from 1 species
UACGAAGGGGGCUAGCGUUGCUCGGAAUUACUGGGCGUAAAGCGCGCGUAGGCGGUCUUUUAAGUCGGGGGUGAAAUCCUGGAGCUCAGCUCCAGAACUGCCUUCGAUACUGGAAGACUUGAGUCCGGGAGAGGUGAGUGGAACUGCGAGUGUAGAGGUGAAAUUCGUAGAUAUUCGCAAGAACACCAGUGGCGAAGGCGGCUCACUGGCCCGGUACUGACGCUGAGGUGCGAAAGCGUGGGGAGCAAACAGG